CCUCCCCCCGCCCCGCACGCCUUGCCGGGGGGGGCGCCGCGGCCGGAGAACAAUAGGUCGUUUAGCGCCGAGACUUUAACGGCAGUGGUUGCGGAGCGGAGCACGUGGAGGGGGACGUGACGGGCGGGGGGGCCGCGCUUUGUGUGCGCGCUCGCGGCCCGGACGUGGCUCCCUCGGGGACGGGGGGGACGCCGCGGCCCUGCGCUUAGUCACGGCGUAAAUAUAAAUACCCGGGUUGCUGCCCUGGGGGCGCCUCGACUUGGAAGGCGCGGGGGGGCGAAGCAGGUUUUGGAACUGCCGCGCACCCGGAGGGGGGGGGCGUGUUGGACUUUGGUACUGGGGGGGUUUCGGUUCUCACCCCCAGAUCAAAGCGACUCGGGUGCCCAGUGUGUGCGCGCACGCCGCUUUAACAAACGGCUUCAUCAGCAAUUAUUUCUUAAAGCAACACUAAACAAUUAUCUUCAGAAAUAUAUUUAAAAGUUUGAAAUAUUUAUAUUGCUGUUUCACUUUGUCAAGUGUUUGCACAGAUAGAUAUAUAGACAUGAUCCGGUAACUAAAAGCCUAAUUAAAAUUUGUUUAAAGCCGGGGGGCAUGUAUUCUUGUUGACAGCAGCAGAUCGAUAGGGUAAGACAAUAGAGCCCCAUUAUUUUACUUCCAUUGACUGAACAUAUUGACAUUUCAGGUUUGCGAUUGCCUCACUGAGCAUGAUGAAACGCUGAAAUUCACAACCCAACUGUCUGGAGUGGCACAUAUAUUACUGUAUGUCAUCUCUGCCUUCAGGUUGCCUUAUCACUGAAGCAGAAUGAAUUAUGUACGAGGAAAGAUGGGCCUUGUUACCUGCUGCUGCACUUCAGAGUUUACAGGCUCAGAAGCAGACAGGAUAAUAAGGUACUUAUAUUUCAUAUUUUAUAUACACGGCUUGUUAUCUUAAACUUCUGCGAGAAGAGCCCCAGGACUUCUGGCUGCGCUGUUCGCRUGCCCGCCACGUUAGCCAGUGGCAGCAUCUCUGCCACGGCCUCGAUGCUCAAGCUGCAGAGCACCUGCGAGAGCUUCGCCCAGCGUGUACAUUGCAUCAGGAAACAAAGAACAACUUUAAAUGGAUCUGCCUUGGGUUCCUCCCCCCUUAGCAUCCUCCAUUGACAAAGCCCAGAGAAUGCAAUGCAGAGAGAAUAGAGUAGAAUGAUACAUACAUAUAUUUUUCCCUUAGUAUAAGCAUUGUAAAAAGAAAUGUCUUUUUAUGCAAUAUCUGUAGGUAUAUGCAUAUUUGCAUAUAUUAAUUGAUGUGAUUGUGCAUAAAUGCAUUUAUAAAGAAGACCCAAUGACUACAGGACAUCCAGUGUGCCUUAUUAUUUCAAAGUCUUUUAGAUGUUCUUUAAAAUCUAGCUGGCUGCAGAAUGAAACCCAUCAGAGAUAGGCAGAGAUAGAGAUUGAAAUUAAUUUAAAGCAGACAAAGAGCUAAUAUGGCAGAGCCACUAGUGAUUUAACUCAUUUUUAAAAGUAAGUGUAAUGAAAAUAUAAAAUGUAUUCUGAGUGUGCCAUCUACUCAACAAUUGUUGCCAUCAAGUGGACUGCUGAUGCCCUUUAAGAUGGUAAAAAGAAAACUAGUCCUUUAUACCAUUUUCAUGAAAAUGUUAGGUUUCUGUUUGAUCAGCAGGUGCUGUUGAGCUGAAAGCCAUGUGUAAAUUUUCAGAAGGCCAAAAGUGUCAAUUCAGAAAAGGAAAGUGAUAAGAGAAAAUGCAAUCAGUUUUCCUGUUUUCAAUUUGUGCAGGAUUUGAAGAGCUGUUUUGUUAAACUGCUACAUCUGCUCCAAUAUGAAUAUUGAACUACUUCCACUAAAAAUAACACCCUAUAAUUUGGAAGCCAUUGCAAUCUUUUGUUAAUGCAAGUGGGUUAUUUAAAAAAAAAAUMUAUUCUGAAAAAUCUCCUGCCUAAUGUGCAUUUUUGUUUAUCGGCACUUUUAUCUUCAGCAAAUAAAAUGGCAUUAUGCAAUUAGGACCA
rnacentral:lncRNA from 1 species